rnacentral:rRNA from 1 species
CCUACGGGUGGCAGCAGUGGGGAAUAUUGGGCAAUGGACGCAAGUCUGACCCAGCAACGCCGCGUGAAGGAAGAAGGCUUUCGGGUUGUAAACUUCUGUUAAGGGGGAAGAGCAGAAGACGGUGCCCCUUGAAUAAGCCACGGCGAACUACGUGCCAGCAGCCGCGGUAAUACGUUGGUGGCAAGCGUUGUCCGGAUUUACUGGGAGGAAAGGGCGUGCAGCCGGAGGGCCAAGUCAGAUGUGAACUCCACGGGCUCAACCCGUGAAAUGCAUUUGAAACUGUUUCCCUUGAGUGUCGGAGAGGUAAUCGGAAUUCCUAGUGUAGCGGUGAAAUGCGUAGAUAUUAGGAAGAACACCAGUGGCGAAGGCGGAUUACUGGACGAUAACUGACGGUGAGGCGCGAAAGCGUGGGGAGCAAACAGGAUUAGAUACCCUUGUAGUC